UUUUUUCUCUUCUCUCCUAAGCUAUGCAGCUUCUUCUUUAUCUUCCAUGAUAAUGAUUUCCAAUUUGAUUUAUUUCUUUUUUCUUAACAGUCAAAUCCACUCUAGUGCCACAUAGUUUCCCUUGUACGCCACCAUCACCACUGUCAACCACGCCUCUCGCCGUCUUGAUCACUUACGUCCUAAAAAAUCUGUGCGUGUUCUCGUCAUAUUUAAACUUCAGUGGCUCUUCCCCGGACAAGAGCUCCAACAUCACCACUCCGAAAGCGUAUAUAUUAGACCUCUGAGUCACAACUCCGGAGGCUUGAAAUUUCGGUGCCAUGUACCCCCGAACGCCUUCGAAUUGCCUGGAUCUCGCUGGGGACGGCGGAAAUUUCUCCCCUAUCUCAGUGAUUUCGCCUAAUUGUUCAUUUUUGAGGUCGAUUUCGCCGUAGAGCUGCGCGGUGCCGAAAUGGCAAACCCUAGCGUUAAAAGAAGGUUUUGUGACGAUGAUGCCGCUGGAUUUGAUGCAGCAAAAGGAAUUGAGAAGCUGACACGUGUGGGUUUCGUAUUCCAAUUUGAAAUCGAAAGAUCCCGUUUUGUCGACGAGUCUCGAUGUGGAUAAGUAUUUGAGUGAUUUUAUGUAUGUGGGGUUCUCAGGUUCUACGCAGGGUAGCACAGAGAUUCACAAAAUAGAGUGGUGGAGUUUUGGUUCUUCCUUUGAUGUUGCGACAGGGGCGGCCCCACCGCCUCCUCCGGCGAUGAGUCUGAUGAACCUGACGGCGAAUGUUGUGAAGUCGACGCCUCCUUCUCCGGCUCCUUCUAACAGUGAAGAGAAAGGGAGCAAAAGCAAAUCGUCUUGCCGCAAUGGGUUGUGUAAGCAGAAUUUAGGAGCGGUUGCUGUGUUGUUAGUGACGGGGCUUUUGUUUUGGCUCUGGUCAAUAUUCAUGGUGUUGUAUCCUGCAAGGAGGAAUGUGGUCCAUUUGUAUAUUCCUAGAAGUAUAGUGAAUUUCAGUUUUGACCACUGAGAGUAUAGUGAAUUUCAGUUUUCAAAUGUUAUUCCUGAAAAAUACAGGCUUGAGGUCAAACACAGUUCCCCGAAUCGGUCACAUUGAAAGAUAAUUGGUGCUGGGAACAGAACUUCAUAAAUGUAAAUGUUGGUGCUGAAGACGUAGAAGGAAUCCUUUUUGUUCAAAAAGGCUACUUGGUCAAUGUUAUCUCGACUCACAAUGUUGAUGGUUACCUGACUCAACCUGGGUCAAUUGGGAAUUUGAAAAUUCAGAAAGGUUCCGAGCAUAUAUGUGUCGAACAUCCUGGUUUACAUGAAUUUAGUUUUGUUGACUCGUGUAUCUUCUUUGGGAGUUCAUCGGUGAAAAUUAAUACAGCUACUCAAUCGGUGACAAUGCCGCGAAGAGAGGUGAGGAAGGUGCGGCUGGCAAUGGAAGUGUCGGAGGAGAGACGGUACCCGAUGGAGCCAUUGUAGGGAGCGUUGGUGGUGGAGGGAACAAAAUGACUGAGCUGCAUAAACCCUUAUUUGCCUUGAGGGGUCAAUGCGAGGCGGGAACAUUAGCUCAAAAAAUGAGGGGAUUUGAUUGUUAGAAAAAAAGAAAAAAUAAAGAAAUUGGAAACUAUUAAUAUGGAAGAGAGAGAAGUCAUCAUUUCCACCCUCCUGUACCAACUGUCCUUCUUUUCCUUAUUUAGUGAGAUGUGAAGAGUUGUGUCAUUCGUAUAGUGCCCAUAGCUUUUCCAUUCAAACCAUUAUCUCUUUCAACUCAUACUCCAUCCCUACUUCUUUUCAUUCCAUUUUCUUAACUUUCCAAAGUAUACUUAUU